CAAAGAUCCAAACUACUAAAACAAGCUUUGCCUUCAAUUAAUUCGUUUCCUGUCUACAAGACUGUCAUGUUUUUCCAUCCAUUUAGCUGCUGGAAAGCCCAUGGAGUCCCUGCUGCUGCUCAUGGGGAGCUGGCCAGCCUUUCCCUUGCAGUAAGACAGCUUCUGGGAAGGCUUUAAGGCGAGGUGAUUCAGCAGGCAUGAAGCAACAAGCUCCCCUUCCUGUUUUCCUCCAGAGUGCAGCAAAGGGUGUUAGAAAGGAUGCUGGGGUGCCUGCAGCAGAGCUGGCUUCAUCAGCACUGGUAAAUCUGACAGCAAAACGGUGAUGUCUGCAACCAGCCCAGCAACAGCGCGACAACAAACACAGCUUCAAGUGCCUUGAAGUGUCAUCCUGAGGCUGCACUGCUGUCUUCCGUGUCAGCGUUGGUUCAGUGCCUGUAGGAAACAUCUCAAACGGGUGUGGGAAAUGAUCUGGUCUGCUGGCUCCAGCUGGGCUGUCUGGCACUCGAGGCAACCUUGACUUCACCUCACCAUGGGUCGCAGAUUCGUGGUGACUGCAGGGAUUUCACUAUGCGACCAGUUUGCUUUGUUGGCUUCUUUUCCUCCUCCUUUUCUUUCUUUGUGUUGCCUCUGUCAGGCUAACAGCAUCGACCUGGGAGGGACUGGCGAUCAGCAAGACAGAUCUGCUUUGGAAAUGGAGGUUUGGGAGCGUGUGCUGGAAUGGCAGUGCUGCUCCACAGCUCGUCUUGUCUCCUUACUGCAAGGAGGGGGAGGUGGGCUCAUUCCCAAUGCUGCACAUCGCCUGUGCCACGCUCUGCUUUUUGGGAUAACCCCGGAUACUGACAGCCUGCCCACAUCCUCGCUCUGGGGAGAGGAGAGCCAUGGGGAGUGGAAUGAGCAAGGUGGUCGCAGGGCUCUACCUGGGGAACAUCCGUGA
ensembl:lncRNA